rnacentral:rRNA from 1 species
UACGUAGGUGGCAAGCGUUGUCCGGAUUUACUGGGCGUAAAGAGCGCGCAGGCGGUCGUUCAAGUCGCGUGUGAAAGCCCCCCGGCUCAACUGGGGAGGGUCACGCGAUACUGAUCGACUCGAAGGCAGGAGAGGGUAGUGGAAUUCCCGGUGUAGUGGUGAAAUGCGUAGAGAUCGGGAGGAACACCUGUGGCGAAGGCGGCCGACUGGGCCGACCCUGACGCUGAGGCGCGAAGGCGUGGGGAGCGAACAGG